rnacentral:rRNA from 1 species
AACGAACGCUGGCGGCAGGCCUAACACAUGCAAGUCGAGCGGACAUCUUCGGAUGUUAGCGGCGGACGGGUGAGUAACGCGUGGGAACGUGCCCUUUGCUUCGGAAUAGCCUCGGGAAACUGGGAGUAAUACCGGAUGUACCCUUUGGGGGAAAGAUUUAUCGGCAAAGGAUCGGCUCGCGUUGGAUUAGGUAGUUGGUGGGGUAAUGGCCUACCAAGCCGACGAUCCAUAGCUGGUUUGAGAGGAUGAUCAGCCACACUGGGACUGAGACACGGCCCAGACUCCUACGGGAGGCAGGAGUGGGGGAUCUUAGAAAAUGGGGGAAGCCCUGAUCGAGCCAUGCCGCGUAAGCGAUGAAGGCCGUAGGGUUGUAAAGCGCUUUUACCGGGGAAGAUAAUGACGGUACCCGGAGAAGAAGCCCCGGCUAACUCCGUG